UGUAUACUCCCUCCGUCCGAAAAUACUUGUCAUCAAAAUGGAUAAAAAGGGAUGUAUCUAGAACUAAAAUACGUCUAGAUACAUCCUCUUUUAUUCAUUUUGACGACAAGUAUUUCCAGACGGAGGGAGUACUUU
rnacentral:pre_miRNA from 1 species